rnacentral:pre_miRNA from 1 species
CAAGGUAAUUUCAUAGUCAUGGUUUAUUGACAGGCGCAUGACUAGAACAUUACUUUG